AAUAUACCCAAAUGCAAAUGUGUAAUAUCAAUUACUAUUGUACUAAUUUUCUCUGUUUCUAUCUGGUGUUCUAGUUUUUGCCCCAGUCCUGGUUUCUACACUUCUAUCUUAGAGGCUGACUCUCCCUGUGACCUGUCUGCCAAUCGGGGGAAGCAGUCGCUGGACAUCCUUCAGAUCUCCAAGCAGUUGCUUCUAGGGUAGAAGCACUCAUGGGAGUCACCCAGAUGCCACUGUAACCACUGUAACCAGCCUGAAGCCCUGGAUAUUGCCUACAGUCAAUACUUCUCUCCUGACAAGAGGCAGGGGCAGCUCUACAACCAUUCUCAGCUUUGAAGAAGAUACAGAAACCUGAGACCAUUACCCUUUCCCCCUAGAUAUGUAGAGAGGGGGGAGAUGACAUGGGCAUUGUACCCCCAGGAGCUCAGGCAAACUAUUGUCAGGGAAAUUCUUCUGCUCCCUAGGAGUCCUUGUGACUCCUAGCCUAAGGAUUUUUUGCUUUUAUGCUGAUCAUACAGGGCUAGUUAAUCGUCUAGUAGUCUUUGUCAAGUAUUGCAUUAAUACUGUCUAGCUAUGGUCCUUCACUAGCAAUAUCAAACUCUGACUCCUACUGAAUCCCCUUAUGAGGAUACGGUUGCAUGAGGAAGAUUCCUAAUGUACAGUAAAAGAAGUGGGGAAUGAAGAGCCAGCUCCCAAACCCCUUAUUUCCCCUCCCUGACCCCUAACCCCAGGAGCUCCUGUCCCUCCCCAUCCUGACAUAUGCCAGGAGCCAUGAAGACCCUAACCCCAGGAGUUCUUGUCCCUCCCACUCCUGACAUAUGCCAGGAACUGAUAACACCUCAGCCCUAGGAGUUCCUGUUCACUAUCCCCACCCCAGGAAUUCCUCUGCACUCCCCCUACCAUAAAAGUGUAUAAAAAGCCUGCAAGCCCCAGACCUGGGGCCAGCCAUUUUUGGGGUUGAGCUCAAAGUGCAGUUUGCUUUAAUAAAAUCCCUUUUGUGUGUUACA
rnacentral:lncRNA from 1 species